CAGUCGCCGCGGUAAUACGGAGGGAGCUAGCGUUGUUCGGAAUCACUGGGCGUAAAGCGCACGUAGGCGGCUAUUCAAGUCAGGGGUGAAAGCCCGGGGCUCAACCCCGGAACUGCCCUUGAAACUAGAUAGCUUGAAUCUUGGAGAGGCGAGUGGAAUUCCGAGUGUAGAGGUGAAAUUCGUAGAUAUUCGGAAGAACACCAGUGGCGAAGGCGACUCGCUGGACAAGUAUUGACGCUGAGGUGCGAAAGCGUGGGGAGCAAACAGGAUUAGAUACCCCUGUAGUCCCUGUCUCUUAUAC
rnacentral:rRNA from 1 species